rnacentral:rRNA from 1 species
UACAGAGGGGGCAAGCGUUGUUCGGAAUUACUGGGCGUAAAGGGCGCGUAGGCGGCCUGUUAAGUCGAACGUGAAAUCCCCAGGCUCAACCUGGGAACUGCAUCCGAUACUGGAUGGCUUGAAUUCGGGAGAGGGAUGCAGAAUUCCAGGUGUAGCGGUGAAAUGCGUAGAUAUCUGGAGGAAUACCGGUGGCGAAGGCGGCAUCCUGGACCGACAUUGACGCUGAGGAGCGAAAGCUAGGGGAGCAAACGGG